rnacentral:rRNA from 1 species
GACAGAGGGUGCAAACGUUGUUCGGAAUUACUGGGCGUAAAGCGCGUGUAGGCGGCCCUGUAAGUCGGAUGUGAAAUCCCACGGCUCAACCGUGGAAGUGCAUUCGAAACUACAGGGCUAGAGUCCUGGAGAGGAAGGUGGAAUGCUUGGUGUAGAGGUGAAAUGCGUAGAUAUCGUAAGGAAGACCAGUGGCGAAGGCGGGUCUCUGGACAGUUCCUGACGCUGAGGCACGAAGGCCAGGGGAGCAAACGGG